UACGUAGGGUCCAAGCGUUGUCCGGAUUUAUUGGGCGUAAAGAGCUCGUAGGCGGUUUGCUGCGUCGGAUGUGAAAACUCGGGGCUCAACCCCGAGACGCCAUCCGAUACUGGCGAGACUUGAGUCUGGUAGGGGAGAUCGGAAUUCCUGGUGUAGCGGUGAAAUGCGCAGAUAUCAGGAGGAACACCGGUGGCGAAGGCGGAUCUCUGGGCCAGUACUGACACUGAGGAGCGAAAGCGUGGGUAGCAAACAGG
rnacentral:rRNA from 1 species